GUGAGUGCGUAGGGAUCACUGCAGCCCUGCAGCGGAUGAAUGAUUGUGAGCGGGUUCUUGAAAAUGCCAUAGUAACAAUCUGAGGGUGCAUCUCCCAGAGAAACAAAUUUUCAGGUGCAUGAGGAAAAUGUCUGAGAAGAAUCAGAAGAUGUAUGAGUGGAAAGGAAGUAAGACUGGACCCCUCCUUUUUUUGAACCUGAACUUGAGAAAUGAACAAAUGUGACUCCAGAAGAUUGAGAAAAGUGACACAAUCGUACUGAGUUAGAUAUAGUAGCAAAGUACGUAGUAUCUUCAAAUCCUGGACUAAAGAUUUUGUCUUAGCUCCAAGUUGGUGCCAGAGAGGAUCUAAGUAGUGACGUAUUGUCUAGAAAUAUAAAUCAGAAAGUUCAGGAUGGCAAAUACUUAAUAUACUAACCAAGGUAAGAAUGCAUUUCUUUUUCUCCUUUACAGGGGAUACCAAUGGUUUCCCAGUUAUUAAACUUACCCAAUUGAAGAUUUGAUGGUGAAGUACUUGUUCUGAUAAGCAAUCAUUUCUUUGCAAAGUUAACAUAAUAUAGAUGCCUUUAUGUAAGAUAUUUCAUCAAUUAGCAAAUGUAUAUAAUUUAAUAUUUUCCUUUCCAUAUCAUAAUAAAAUACCGGUAAAAUAACAAAAAAACCCAAACUUA